GGACCCUUAGCUCAAUCGGUAGAGCUUUGUACUUAUGAGGAUAAUGUUAUGCAAGGGUCCCGAGUUCGAUUCUCGGAGGGUCCA